rnacentral:pre_miRNA from 1 species
AUAAUACUCCCUCCGUCCGGAAUUACUUGUCGCGAAAAUGGAUGUAUCUAGAACUAAAAUUCGUCUAGAUACAUCCAUUUCCCCGACAAGUAUUUCCGGACGGAGGGAGUAAUUC